UUGGAGGGCAAGUCUGGUGCCAGCAGCCGCGGUAAUUCCAGCUCCAAUAGCGUAUAUUAAAGUUGUUGCAGUUAAAAAGCUCGUAGUUGAAUUUCGGGAUCAAUUUGCCGGUCGAGACCUCUGGUACGUACUUGUAUUAUUGAUUUCUUUCAUUCUGAUAAAUCAUUGAUGUCAUUAAUUUGAUGACUUUGAGGAAUCGGAACUUUUACUUUGAAAAAUUAGAGUGUUUAAAGCAGGCUAACGCCUGAAUACAUUAGCAUGGAAUAAUGAAAUAGGACGUUCGAUCCUAUUUUGUUGGUUUCUAGGAUUGACGUAAUGAUUAAUAGGGAUAGUUGGGGGCAUUAGUAUUCAAUUGUCAGAGGUGAAAUUCUUGGAUUUAUUGAAGACUAACUACUGCGAAAGCAUUUGCCAAGGAUGUUUUCAUUAAUCAAGAACGAAAGUUAGGGGAUCGAAGACGAUCAGAUACCGUCGUAGUCUUAACCAUAAACUAUGCCGACUAGGGAUCGGAUGAUGUUAAUUUUUAAUGACUCAUUC
rnacentral:rRNA from 1 species